AUCUUAGGGGUUUACGAGGAGGCCUCGGGACAGAAAGUUAACUUGCAAAAAUCAUUGGUGUUCUUUGGGAAAGGAUGUGGAUAUGCGAGUAAGGCUGAACUUCUUGGAGUCAUUGGGAUUAAUUCUGAAGUGUUGAGUGAAAAGUAUUUAGGACUGUCGACACUAGUUGGUAGAUCCAAAGAGGGGACUUUUAAAUAUGUGAAAGAAAGUUUAGCUGGUAAGGUUACAAGAUGGAAGGGACAAGGGAUGUCCAAGGCGGCAAGAGAGGUUCUCGUCAAGUCAGGCCUCCAAGCUACGCCAACUCUCACUAUGAGCUGCUUCCAACUCACCAAGAAAUUGUGUUGGAACCUGACUUCAAUCUCGUCUAACUUCUGGUGGGGAGAAGCAAAUGGUGAGAGGAAGGUGCACUGGUUGGCAUGGAAGAAGAUGUGUAAGGUGAAGAGAGAAGGAAGAAUGGGAUUUCGAGAUCCAAAGUCGUUCAAUCAAGCCUUGUUAGCCAAACAAGCUUGGAGUAUACUACAAUACCCAACUUCCCUUUGUGCUCGAGUGCCCAAAGCACGGUACUUUCCAGAGGGAUCGAUUAUGAAUGCCACGUGUCCUAAUGAAGAUUCCUUCACCUUCCGGAGCAUUAUCCAUGGCCGAGAGCUUCUGUGA
rnacentral:rRNA from 1 species